AUAAACUGUAAACAGCAAUAAUGUUCAGCAAAGUAAGAUUUACAAAAAAGGUCAACAUGACCGAAAUGGUCAGUUGACCCCUUUAGGAGUUAUUGCCCUUUAUAGUCAAUUUUUAACCAUUUUUCGUAAAUCUUAGUUAUCUUUUACAAAAAUCUUCUUCUCUGAAACUACUGGGCCAAAUUAAUCCAAACUUGGCCAAAAUCAUCAUUGGGGUAUCUAGUUUAAAAAAUGUGUGGCGUGACCCUGCCAACCAACCAAAAUGGCCACCAUGGCUAAAAAUAGAACAUAGGGGUAAAAUGUAGAUUUUGGCUUAUAUCUCUGAAACCAAAGUAUUUAGAGCAAAUCUGACAAGGGAUAAAUUGUUUAUCAGGUCAAGAUCUAUCUGCCCUGUUGUUGGGUUGCUGGCCCAGAAUUAGUAAUUUUAAGGAAAUUUUGCAGUUUUUGGUUAUUAUCUUGAAUAUUAUAAUAGAUAGAGAUAAAC
rnacentral:lncRNA from 1 species